CGAAUGGGGAAACCCAGUGUGAUUCGUCACACUAUCAUUAACUGAAUCCAUAGGUUAAUGAGGCGAACCGGGGGAACUGAAACAUCUAAGUACCCCGAGGAAAAGAAAUCAACCGAGAUUCCCCCAGUAGCGGCGAGCGAACGGGGAGGAGCCCAGAGCCUGAAUCAGCAUGUGUGUUAGUGGAAGCGUCUGGAAAGGCGCGCGAUACAGGGUGACAGCCCCGUACACAAAAGCGCAUGUGCUGUGAGCUCGAUGAGUAGGGCGGGACACGUGGUAUCCUGUCUGAAUAUGGGGGGACCAUCCUCCAAGGCUAAAUACUCCUGACUGACCGAUAGUGAACCAGUACCGUGAGGGAAAGGCGAAAAGAACCCCGGCGAGGGGAGUGAAAAAGAACCUGAAACCGUGUACGUACAAGCAGUGGGAGCNNGUGACUGCGUACCUUUUGUAUAAUGGGUCAGCGACUUAUAUUCUGUAGCAAGGUUAACCGUAUAGGGGAGCCGGAGGGAAACCGAGUCUUAAUUGGGCGUUAAGUUGCAGGGUAUAGACCCGAAACCCGGUGAUCUAGCCAUGGGCAGGUUGAAGGUUGGGUAACACUAACUGGAGGACCGAACCGACUAAUGUUGAAAAAUUAGCGGAUGACCUGUGGCUGGGGGUGAAAGGCCAAUCAAACCGGGAGAUAGCUGGUUCUCCCCGAAAGCUAUUUAGGUAGCGCCUCGUGAAUUCAUCUCCGGGGGUAGAGCACUGUUUCGGCUAGGGGGCCAUCCCGGCUUACCAACCCGAUGCAAACUGCGAAUACCGGAGAAUGUUAUCACGGGAGACACACGGCGGGUGCUAACGUCCGUCGUGAAGAGGGAAACAACCCAGACCGCCAGCUAAGGUCCCAAAGUCAUGGUUAAGUGGGAAACGAUGUGGGAAGGCCCAGACAGCCAGGAUGUUGGCUUAGAAGCAGCCAUCAUUUAAAGAAAGCGUAAUAGCUCACUGGUCGAGUCGGCCUGCGCGGAAGAUGUAACGGGGCUAAACCAUGCACCGAAGCUGCGGCAGCGANNNNNNNNNNNNNNNNNUGCUGGAGGUAUCAGAAGUGCGAAUGCUGACAUAAGUAACGAUAAAGCGGGUGAAAAGCCCGCUCGCCGGAAGACCAAGGGUUCCUGUCCAACGUUAAUCGGGGCAGGGUGAGUCGACCCCUAAGGCGAGGCCGAAAGGCGUAGUCGAUGGGAAACGGGUUAAUAUUCCCGUACUUGGUGUUACUGCGAAGGGGGGACGGAGAAGGCUAUGUUGGCCGGGCGACGGUUGUCCCGGUUUAAGCGUGUAGGUGUGUGUUCCAGGUAAAUCCGGUUCACUUUAACACUGAGGCGUGACGACGAGGCACUACGGUGCUGAAGCAACAAAUGCCCUGCUUCCAGGAAAAGCCUCUAAGCAUCAGGUAACAUCAAAUCGUACCCCAAACCGACACAGGUGGUCAGGUAGAGAAUACCAAGGCGCUUGAGAGAACUCGGGUGAAGGAACUAGGCAAAAUGGUGCCGUAACUUCGGGAGAAGGCACGCUGACACGUAGGUGAAGUGAUUUACUCACGGAGCUGAAGUCAGUCGAAGAUACCAGCUGGCUGCAACUGUUUAUUAAAAACACAGCACUGUGCAAACACGAAAGUGGACGUAUACGGUGUGACGCCUGCCCGGUGCCGGAAGGUUAAUUGAUGGGGUCAGCGCAAGCGAAGCUCCUGAUCGAAGCCCCGGUAAACGGCGGCCGUAACUAUAACGGUCCUAAGGUAGCGAAAUUCCUUGUCGGGUAAGUUCCGACCUGCACGAAUGGCGUAAUGAUGGCCAGGCUGUCUCCACCCGAGACUCAGUGAAAUUGAACUCGCUGUGAAGAUGCAGUGUACCCGCGGCAAGACGGAAAGACCCCGUGAACCUUUACUAUAGCUUGACACUGAACAUUGAGCCUUGAUGUGUAGGAUAGGUGGGAGGCUUUGAAGUGUGGACGCCAGUCUGCAUGGAGCCGACCUUGAAAUACCACCCUUUAAUGUUUGAUGUUCUAACGUGGACCCGUAAUCCGGGUUGCGGACAGUGUCUGGUGGGUAGUUUGACUGGGGCGGUCUCCUCCUAAAGAGUAACGGAGGAGCACGAAGGUUGGCUAAUCCUGGUCGGACAUCAGGAGGUUAGUGCAAUGGCAUAAGCCAGCUUGACUGCGAGCGUGACGGCGCGAGCAGGUGCGAAAGCAGGUCAUAGUGAUCCGGUGGUUCUGAAUGGAAGGGCCAUCGCUCAACGGAUAAAAGGUACUCCGGGGAUAACAGGCUGAUACCGCCCAAGAGUUCAUAUCGACGGCGGUGUUUGGCACCUCGAUGUCGGCUCAUCACAUCCUGGGGCUGAAGUAGGUCCCAAGGGUAUGGCUGUUCGCCAUUUAAAGUGGUACGCGAGCUGGGUUUAGAACGUCGUGAGACAGUUCGGUCCCUAUCUGCCGUGGGCGCUGGAGAACUGAGGGGGGCUGCUCCUAGUACGAGAGGACCGGAGUGGACGCAUCACUGGUGUUCGGGUUGUCAUGCCAAUGGCACUGCCCGGUAGCUAAAUGCGGAAGAGAUAAGUGCUGAAAGCAUCUAAGCACGAAACUUGCCCCGAGAUGAGUUCUCCCUGAGACUUAGAGUCUCCUGAAGGAACGUUGAAGACG
rnacentral:rRNA from 1 species